rnacentral:rRNA from 1 species
CCCUUAGAUGUUCUGGGCCGCACGCGCGCUACACUGAUGCAUUCAACGAGCCUAUCCUUGACCGACAGGUCCGGGUAAUCUUUGAAUCUGCAUCGUGACGGGGAUAGAUUAUUGCAAUUAUUAAUCUUCAACGAGGAAUGCCUAGUAGGCGCAAGUCAUCAGCUUGCGUCGAUUACGUCCCUGCCCUUUGUACACACCGCCCGUCGCUCCUACCGAUUGGGGGUGCUGGUGAAAUGUUCGGAUCGGCCGUUUGUCGCGGUUUCCGCGGCUCGUGGCUGAGAAGUUCAUUAAACCCUCCCACCUAGAGGAAGGAGAAGUCGUAACA